GGCUGGGGUUCUUUCCCACUUUUUUCCACCAGGGGGCUUCCUGGAGGUUCCUGGAGGGGCGUGGUUUCGCGGCUGCACACCUGACACAUAUCUGACUCAUUUGGAGGAGUAUAUCUGGAUGGAGCUGCCGACACUCCAGUGCCAGAGUGUUAGCCAGUUAUGGUAUCUGUUGUUACUAGCCAUCCUCUGACCAACCUGUUUCUUAAAGUAACUAAUUUCGUGUAACCUCUUCCCAGGUUGCCCCUCCGUGACGCCUUGGCCGCCUGACCCGAGUUACUGGCUGGAAGAUUUUUUCACCCUGGAUUCCUGUUCUUCCGCUUACCAGCCUACCUCCCUUCCCUGAGCCCCGGCCUCGCGGACCCACCAGUCCCAGAUCUCCAGCCGAGCUUUCCCCUGUAAAUCCUCAAAUCCCAGAGAUCCAGCCCCUGCCAGAGAGAAUAGAGAGAGACCUCUCACCUUCACCUGUACAUAUCUGCACGUUGUUUUUCUAAUAAAUUUCCCUACCUGA